UUCGGUGGUUGCGGGAACAAUUUCCAAACAUUCGAUUACGUGAGAAUCCCAGCUUGUGUGGCAACGAAGCGAUAACGAUCACGAACCUGUCUCGAGUUUCCAUGUCCCGAUUGACAUUGAAACGCGUACAAGGACGACGCGAUCUUUGGAAUUUCCUUGCACACGCGUUCGUGUUUCUUCGAUCGUGUUACGCGGUGUUUCGUUACGUUCGCCGCGUACAGGUUAUGUGUGCUUGUGACCGUAUCGCUGACACGAACCGGGCAAAUCGUGCACAUUUCGUUGAAAUGCAGUGCAUGAGAAAAGAUGUGAUUCAAGUAACAACAGACGUGCUAAAGUGGCACGAAAUGUUCCAUGGUUAGGUGAUAAAGUUUCGAAACGUGACAGAUUACUAUUUACGGUAUCAGCCAGAAGAUCGGUGUAAAAGUAGCAUUAAAAGAUGAGUUGCAUAUCAAAUAUACUGUACUGUCUUGGUAACUGACGACUGGAUACACAUGUAACAAGUUAGUCAGGGAGAAUUUACAUUAAAAAUUUGACGUUAAUAUAGAAUUGUAUAGAAGGAUGGACUUACACAAUGCUAGCCAAUAUGCAGUUCGAGAUAUCGAGAUUUCAAAGUCGCUAGGUUAUAUAUAUUAUAUAAUAUAUUGUAGAAACAGUUGAAUGUAAGGAUUCAGGAUAAGCAAAAUGAAAGAAAUGCAAUGGCUAGAAAAGUCAUAUGAAAGUACUAUUACUAUAAACUUAAUGUAGUUGAACGUAAUUAAUUAGCAUGUAAACGCUAUAAUGCAGUGGUGUAUAGAUGCUUUCUGCACUGUACAUAUACAUAUAACGGAAUUUCAUCUACCCAAUUUCCAUUUAUUGAAAUGAAAGUUUAGCUGGUGCUCGAUUAAAUGACUCGCUAUUGAAGAUGAAUCAAUUUAUCUGAACUUUUCUAUUAUAUAAGCGAAAAAUCAUAGGUAGUGCGGAAGGUGAGUGAACUCAAAUUACAUGAACUUUGUCUGUCAAUAAAUAUACAUGCAUACGUUC